GAUGAAGAACGCAGCGAAAUGCGAUAAGUAAUGUGAAUUGCAGAAUUCAGUGAAUCAUCGAAUCUUUGAACGCACAUUGCGCCCGCCAGUAUUCUGGCGGGCAUGCCUGUUCGAGCGUCAUUACAACCCUCUGGCCCCCGGGCCUGGCGUUGGGGAUCGGCGGAAGCCCCCUGCGGGCACAACGCCGUCCCCCAAAUACAGUGGCGGUCCCGCCGCAGCUUCCAUUGCGUAGUAGCUAACACCUCGCAACUGGAGAGCGGCGCGGCCACGCCGUAAAACACCCAACUUCUGAAUGUUGACCUCGAAUCAGGUAGGAAUACCCGCUGAACUUAAGCAUAUCAAUAAGCGGAGGA
rnacentral:misc_RNA from 1 species